rnacentral:rRNA from 1 species
AGUGAACGCUGGCGGUAGGCCUAACACAUGCAAGUCGAACGGCAGCACAGUAAGAGCUUGCUCUUACGGGUGGCGAGUGGCGGACGGGUGAGGAAUACAUCGGAAUCUACUUUUUCGUGGGGGAUAACGUAGGGAAACUUACGCUAAUACCGCAUACGACCUACGGGUGAAAGCAGGGGAUCUUCGGACCUUGCGCGAUUGAAUGAGCCGAUGUCGGAUUAGCUAGUUGGCGGGGUAAAGGCCGACCAAGGCGAGGAUCCGUAGCUGGUCUGAGAGGAUGAUCAGCCACACUGGAACUGAGACACGGUCCCGACUCCUACGGGAGGCAGCAGUGGGGAAUAUUGGACAAUGGGCACGAGCCUGAUCCAGCCAUACCGCGUGGGUGAAGAAGGCCUUCGGGUUGUAAAGCCCUUUUGUUGGGAAAGAAAAGCAGCAGGUUAAUACCCCGCUGUUCUGACGGUACCCAAAGAAUAAGCACCGGCUAACUUCGUG